GGGGACUGUAUGAAAACGGGGGUUUAUUCCCGACUCCUCUGAACGCUGGAUGUGUAUGCGCCUAUACCGCUGAUGCCACGGACUCGGACGUCCAGUCGCCAUUGAGAUGUGAUUCUCUCGGGGUUUCAUUUCACGUUGACCAAGCCGAGCACACCACCACUGGGUCUGCGUGGUGUCAGGAAGACUGAGCUGUGAGGAAAACAGCUCGCCCCAAGACCGUCUGGGCUCAGCAGGAAGCGCCGCCAUAUUUACUUCCAGGUCAACCUCAGACGUCAUGUGGACCAGAUGCCUGCUCUUCGUCUCA
ensembl:lncRNA